AUCAAAUCUCUGCUUUUAUCUUCUGCAGCUGGAGGAGUUUAAUUUAUUUUGCUUUCUGCUGUGCCCACACCUGACCAACCAAAGCAGCUUCAAGAGGGUCCCAUCGAUCUCUGCUGUUUAACCCCUGUAUCUCUUCCUAUGGCUUUCCAAAGGAGACUGCAGUCGUUUGCCAGAGCUCUGUAGAUACAGCAGUCAGGGAAUGCCCUUCCUGUUGCCCCUGAAGCUGAUAGCGCAUCCAUUCAUGCAUUCAUAUUCUUUUCAAAGGGAUGAGAAGCAUCGAGAGGAACCUGGCACCGAUGGCAGCGAAUGCUCUGCGUUCAGCAACAUGUAAAUCUUAUUCAUAUCCUUUUACGGCCAUAGUUUCUCAUUGUCAGAUUCAUAGAUUGCAGUCGUUUUGCUUUAAAAACCCUACAGCAUUGUUUCCAACAGGCAGAAAUAAUAAUAUAUCACUGAGCAAUGCUGAUGAACAAUAAUAAUGUGUUCCUUUUUAUUAGUAUUUUCUAUCUGAAUCCAGAUGUUUUCUGUGGUCCCUGUAGGCAAAAUGCUGUCUGUGAGAAACACCCUGCUGGCUGUCACAAUGUAAUGUUAUCUUGUGAAUGGUUCCUUAAAUAUCUGCAAGGUCAGAGAGAUUAAAUGUUCUCCUGGGAAAUGCAGGAAAAGUAGAAUGUCAGCAUCACCUUUUGUCCGAGUGAAAAGUUAAAUGACAUUUCCAGUGAUAUUGAUUAGAGCAUCUUUGAGUGUCAAAACAGAAUGGUGAUUUCAAUAUCUGCAACGAGUUGCAAAGGCUGAAGCAGG
ensembl:lncRNA